GGAAUUACUGGGCGUAAAGGGCUCGUAGGCGGCCAACUAAGUCAGACGUGAAAUCCCUCGGCUUAACCGGGGAACUGCAUCUGAUACUGGAUGUCUUGAGAUUGGGAGAGGGAUGCGGAAUUCCAGGUGUAGCGGUGAAAUGCGUAGAGAUCCGGAAGAACACCGGUGGCGAAGGCGGCCUGCUGGGCAGUAGCUGACACUGAGGCGCGACAGCGUGGGGAGCAAACAGG
rnacentral:rRNA from 1 species